AAGCAUCGGACCAAGCGUUAGGGAUCUGGGCUGGUCAGGGGCCUGGGGCCCAACGUACCCCGCGAAGCAGUGCGCCGCGCCCUUUCUCCUUCUGCGCAGGUGAACGAGCCUCUGAUCGGAACCUGCCUUGCUUCGUAAGACAGAGCCCCAGACCUGCAGAGAUAGCCG